GGUCUCUUAGUGCAGUGGUGAGCACAUCAUUUAAUCCAAUUUACUGAAAACGCCAGUUCGACUCUGGCAGAGACCA